ensembl:snoRNA
AUUCAGAUGAUGCAUUAAAACUGUUCAACGGUUGAAUGAUACAGACAAGAACUAAAACUUAAUUCUGACAGAA